CAAUAGCGUAUAUUGAAGUUGUUGCGGUCAAAAAGCUCGUCGUUGGAUUUCUGUUGAGGUCGAACAGUGCCGCCCUAUGGGUGCGCAACUGGCUCGGCUUCGGCAUCUUCUUGGAGAGCGCAUCUGCACUUAACUGUGUGGAUCGUACUUCAAGUCAGUUACUUUGAGGAAUUGUGAGUGUUUCAAGCAGGCUUACGCCGUUGAAUCCGUUAGCAUGGAAUAAUAGGAUAGGACCUCGGUUCUAUUUUGUUGGUUUUGAGAGCUGGGGCAGCGAUUGAUAGGGACGGAUGGGGGCGUCCGAACUUUACUGUCAGAGGUGAAAUUCUUAGAUCGGUCAAAGGCGAACUACUGCGAACGCAUUCGCCAAGAAUGUUUUCUUUAA
rnacentral:rRNA from 1 species